AGUUUAUCCACAGACCAAAUCUCUACCACCACUUCGUGAGUAGAGAGACUUGCAAGAAAACUACAUGAAUGGCAGCUUUUAAAAAGAAGGGAACUACAACACAAGGCUAUAUCACUCAGCAGGAAGCCUGCAGUACUUAGAGAUUCCACCAAGAGAGCUCAAUCAAGGGAGAUCCUCAAAGGAAGUCUUCAGCUGUGACAAGAAAAUGUCUAUCGGCAAGACCCAAGUUUGUGGUUCUACCCAGGGUCCAAAGCACAGGGCCCUGAGCCCUCAGGAACUGGAAGUCUGUACAGUCUCUACAUAGGCAGUUUGCCCAUGCGUCUCUGGCAUCUGGUGGGUGUUGGGUGCACUGUUGUUGAAUGACAAUGAAUUAAAAAAAAAUAACUUCUAAUACAAA